rnacentral:tRNA from 3 species
GGCGGAAUAGCUCAGCUGGCUAGAGCACGCGGUUCAUACCCGCGGUGUCGUUGGUUCAAGUCCAAUUUCCGCUA